CCUACGGGAGGCAGCAGUGGGGAAUAUUGGACAAUGGGGGCAACCCUGAUCCAGCCAUGCCGCGUGUGUGAAGAAGGCCCUCGGGUUGUAAAGCACUUUCAGUGAGGAAGAACGCCUGGUGGUUAAUACCCAUCAGGAAAGACAUCACUCACAGAAGAAGCACCGGCUAACUCCGUGCCAGCAGCCGCGGUAAUACAGAGGGUGCGAGCGUUAAUCGGAAUUACUGGGCGUAAAGCGCGCGUAGGUGGCUUGAUAAGCCGGUUGUGAAAGCCCCGGGCUCAACCUGGGAACGGCAUCCGGAACUGUCAAGCUAGAGUGCAGGAGAGGAAGGUAGAAUUCCCGGUGUAGCGGUGAAAUGCGUAGAGAUCGGGAGGAAUACCAGUGGCGAAGGCGGCCUUCUGGACUGACACUGACACUGAGGUGCGAAAGCGUGGGUAGCAAACAGGAUUAGAUACCCUUGUAGUC
rnacentral:rRNA from 1 species